CAGUCGAACGGACUCAUAUUGAAACCUAGUGAUUUAUGAGUUAGUGGCGGACGGGUGAGUAACGCGUGGAUAACCUGCCGUAUACCGGGGGAUAACACUUAGAAAUAGGUGCUAAUACCGCAUAAGCGCACGGCUCCGCAUGGGGCAGUGUGAAAAACUCCGGUGGUAUACGAUGGAUCCGCGUCUGAUUAGCUAGUUGGCGGGGUAACGGCCCACCAAGGCAGCGAUCAGUAGCCGGCCUGAGAGGGUGGACGGCCACAUUGGGACUGAGACACGGCCCAAACUCCUACGGGAGGCAGCAGUGGGGAAUAUUGCACAAUGGGGGAAACCCUGAUGCAGCGACGCCGCGUGAGUGAAGAAGUAUCUCGGUACGUAAAGCUCUAUCAGCAGGGAAGAAAAUGACGGUACCUGACUAAGAAGCCCCGGCUAACUACGUGCCAGCAGCCGCGGUAAUACGUAGGGGGCAAGCGUUAUCCGGAUUUACUGGGUGUAAAGGGAGCGUAGACGGCAGCACAAGUCUGGAGUGAAAUCCCGGGGCUUAACCCCGGAACUGCUUUGGAAACUGUGCGGCUGGAGUGCAGGAGGGGUAAGCGGAAUUCCUAGUGUAGCGGUGAAAUGCGUAGAUAUUAGGAGGAACACCGGUGGCGAAGGCGGCUUACUGGACUGUAACUGACGUUGAGGCUCGAAAGCGUGGGGAGCAAACAGGAUUAGAUACCCUGGUAGUCCACGCCGUAAACGAUGAUUACUAGGUGUCGGGGGACCAAGGUUCUCCGGUGCCGGCGCAAACGCAUUAAGUAAUCCACCUGGGGAGUACGUUCGCAAGAAUGAAACUCAAAGG
rnacentral:rRNA from 1 species